rnacentral:rRNA from 1 species
CCUCGGGAGGCAGCAGUGGAGGAAUAUUGGACAAUGGGCGCAAGCCUGAUCCAGCCAUGCCGCGUGCAGGAAGACUGCCCUAUGGGUUGUAAACUGCUUUUAUACAGGAAGAAACCUUUCCACGUGUGGGGAGCUGACGGUACUGUAAGAAUAAGCAUCGGCUAACUCCGUGCCAGCAGCCGCGGUAAUACGGAGGAUGCAAGCGUUAUCCGGAAUCAUUGGGUUUAAAGGGUCCGUAGGUGGACAGAUAAGUCAGAGGUGAAAUCCUGCAGCUCAACUGUAGAAUUGCCUUUGAUACUGGUUGUCUUGAAUUAUUGUGAAGUGGUUAGAAUAAGUAGUGUAGCGGUGAAAUGCAUAGAUAUUACUUAGAAUACCAAUUGCGAAGGCAGAUCACUAACAAUAUAUUGACGCUGAGGGACGAAAGCGUGGGGAGCGAACAGGAUUAGAUACCCUGGUAGUCCACGCCGUAAACGAUGGAUACUAGCUGUUCGAUUUUCGGAUUGAGUGGCUAAGCGAAAGUGAUAAGUAUCCCACCUGGGGAGUACGUUCGCAAGAAUGAAACUCAAAGGAAUUGACGG